UAACAAAUAAUUUGUAAGUCGCUCUGGAUAAGAGCGUUUGCUAAAUAAUGUAAA
rfam:Salmo salar isolate Sally breed double haploid chromosome ssa16, whole genome shotgun sequence.